AGGAUCAAAAUUGUGAUGGCAUGUCUUCGGAUCAUCCUCCGGGAUGUUUCCCAGACCGUCGCCAAUAGCCCAUUGUGCAGCUCUAGUGCGACGUAAAUUAACAACAACAGCAAGUGCCUUCGUUUCCCCCUCCCAACUUCUGCAGUGGAGUGAAAUGUGAUGAUCUGUCUAACUGCUUGAGAGAGAAUGGACAGAAAAUCAGAGAGAAAGGAAGCUUCUGCAAGUGCUGCGAUAUCUGCGUCAAAGUAUUAGGCGAAGGAGAGAGAUGCAUGCCAGAUCACAUCCUCGGAUCAAUAUCAGCAUCCGAAUGUCACAGAAGUCACUGGAAGUGCGUCACCAUGGAAGAAUUCUUAGAAGACUAAAACUAUACUCAAAAAGUAUUUGUACAAAAAUGAAAAUAAAACACACAAUAC